rnacentral:rRNA from 1 species
UGGCGGCAGGCUUAACACAUGCAAGUCGAGCGGUAACAGAGAGUAGCUUGCUACUUUGCUGACGAGCGGCGGACGGGUGAGUAACGCGUAGAAAUCUGCCUGGUAGUGGGGGAUAGCCCAGAGAAAUUUGGAUUAAUACCGCAUACGCCCUACGGGGGAAAGCAGGGGACCUUCGGGCCUUGCGCUAUCAGAUGAGUCUGCGUCGGAUUAGCUUGUUGGUGAGGUAAUGGCUCACCAAGGCGACGAUCCGUAGCUGGUCUGAGAGGAUGAUCAGCCACACUGGGACUGAGACACGGCCCAGACUCCUACGGGAGGCAGCAGUGGGGAAUAUUGCACAAUGGGCGAAAGCCUGAUGCAGCCAUGCCGCGUGUGUGAAGAAGGCCUUAGGGUUGUAAAGCACUUUCAGCAGUGAGGAAAGGUUGUAGCUUAAUACGCUAUAGCUGUGACGUUAACUGCAGAAGAAGGACCGGCUAACUCCGUGCCAGCA